UACGUAGGGUGCGAGCGUUAAUCGGAAUUACUGGGCGUAAAGUGUGCGCAGGCGGCCGAGCAAGUCGAGUGUGAAAGCCCCGAGCUUAACUUGGGAACUGCGCUCGAAACUACUUGGCUAGAGUACAGAUGAGGUAGGCGGAAUUGACGGUGUAGCGGUGAAAUGCUUAGAUAUCGUCAAGAACACCUAUAGCGAAGGCAGCUUACUAGGCUGUAACUGACGCUGAGGCACGAAAGUGUGGGGAUCAAACAGG
rnacentral:rRNA from 1 species